UGGGUGGGGGUCUGAGGAGGACAAAGGAAACAGCAUGUGUGUGGGGAAAGUGGGCAGGGUUGAGCCAGGCUGGGACAGGGAAAGAAGUGUUGUGCUACAGGGAGAGAAAAGUCCCUGAGAGCAGGGCUGAAGACUGACUGCUGUGUGAAGUAGGGCAGGCUUCAGGGAGUGAUCACAGAUGGGUGCAGUAAUGAGCAUGUGUUGCAGCAGAAUGCCAUUGCGGGUGAAAGCUGGCACACUGAAGCAGCCACUCAAGCAGGGACCUGAGCGGCACUGAUCGGAGGACCGAGGAAUCGUGGGGCUGGACGCUGCGUGCCACUGCGGGCAGAAGCUGGCACACCACAAAGUUUCCACCGUGACUACAGGAGCCCAGCCACAGAGAGCAACCAGCUGCUGCCGAUCGGGCACGGGCUCACUCAACUCCGCUUGCCACAGGUUACUAUUCCAAAAAGUUGAAGACAUGGACCCACGGGCUUAUCGGAAAGGUUCUCUCCACGAAGGAUGCUGAUUUAGUGAGUUGUUAUGAACAAGCUAUAAUGACGGAGACUGAAGCCGCUUUCCAGGCAAUCACGUGGUCACGGAUGAUCAACGAUGACGUAGCCUAUUUUGGUUGCUUGAUGCCGCUGAACUCAUAUUACCACCUAAAUGAUUCUCAAUAAUUGAUUAUGAAUCACGUAUAUUGUCAUUUGAAGCCAAACAAGCACAACAGAGGUAUGCCAUGCACAACACUGAGGAGAUGAUCUAAGUACUAAUCAGAAUGCUACAUGUCUGAAAAUAAACUGCCCUACUCAGACACUAUCCCAGCUAAGUGGCAGCAUCUGCCAAUGAUACACGAUGAUUCAAAUAAACAUAGUGACAACAACUGUUCUGAAAUACACAGUACAAAGACCAAACAACAAUGCAAGCAAGAUUAUCAUAUACACACAGGAAUAUGAAUAUACUGCACGUACUAGUGUUAUUAUUACAGAGCCUACAAAGAAAUCAUGGAGACUAAAGAAAAAAAAUUAUAUUAAUAAGGUUAAACUGAUAUCACAACUUGACAUCAUUAUAAUCCCUGACACACAGUCUAGUCCUAUAACUAUAACAGAUAUGAGCAAGAAGACUUUUAUACAUAUAGUAUACAAAAUGGUGCAGAAACAAAAAAAAACGGGGUUAUAUGGAGUCAGCAGAUCACAGUUCUGCAGUAACAGAAGAUGUUGUUCGAGGCAUCCAAUGUGGUUACAGCUGGUGCUGAUGCAACUACGUCAGCCGAUGUAGUUAUGCCAGCUGAUGCUGAUGCAACAUCUGAUGUAGUGAACGGAUGACAAAAAUAAGAAUACACAGACAAAGAGGUGGAAAUGCUGAACAAUAUUAUGCUUUGAUGGGUAGACUUUGGAAAGAUGUCAUGUUCAUGGAGCAAAUUAAACAAUGUCAGCAUUAAUGAAGAUGUUAAUGCACAGUGGUAAUAGACCAUCAUGUAUUUUGAUGUCACGUCAAUAAUCAGAGACCACUCUGACAAAACAUUGGCAAUUGUAAAGGAAAAUAUAAAUCACUUCACUGAAGAACAGAAAUGACUAGAUAUGACGGGACAUGGAUUGAAACGUGUAUUGUCAUUCUGUAAACAAUCAAAACAAUUAAAAAGUGAUGUACUGUACUGUGAAAAUUGACAUGUAAAAAUUCAUACAGGAAAUCGAAAGUAAAAUUAUCAAUAGCUAUGUUAUCACCAUAGUAACAUGCCCAACUCAUGACUAGUGUCUGCUUUAGACUUCACAGAUGAUGAUAAUAAAGUCAUGGUGAAUUGGAAGUAUGCAAAAUAUCUUUAAGCUAAAGUUUACAAUGAAAAUAUCUUCAUGGCAGCAAUAACAACAGCAUUUACCUGUAUUGAAUUGUACAGAUGGAGUACAAUGGAUUUUUUAAACCUAUGUCCCGUCUAUGGGUUAAUUAUGAGAUCAAACACAAAGGCUUGGUACUGUAAGUCUUAUAUGAUGGAACACAUAUCUUGUAAGAUGCUUUUAUUAGAGCAGACAUGACAAAUGAAAAAAAUGUAUAUCAAAUUUAUAUUAAAUUUAUAUAAAAAAAUGGGCAUAAAGCAUGGAGCAUCAGGGGGUGUGUUAUGGGAGGAGUUAUUGGUGUGAUAGAGGUGAGGUUAGGGGCAGAGCAAUGUUCACUUUUUAUGGAAAAGUGUUCUCUCUCGACUACGGUGUACAGUACAGUAGUUGUUCACCGUCAUUUCAGUUGGGCAACAGACAACAGUCAACUCAAUGCACAAAAAAAUACUUUUUCAGUGCUGACACUAGUAGUCUUUGUAAGUGAAUGCCAGUGUACAGCCAUAUACUGGAUAAGAAAUAGUAACUGCUUGUUUACUUGCAUCAAUAGAUGCACUCAGCUCUUCUCAUGAUUAUAUCAUAGAGUGCCCCUGAAACCCACUGUCUAUUUGUAAAGGCAUGUUACAAUAUCACUGCUUCUUUGUUAAACAUCACUUCCAAAAUUGUGAAGUCCAUGAGCACAGCACAAGUCACAGUGUGUAAAUAACACGAGAUUUGUAAUGUAAAAUAUACAUUAUAUCCAGAAUAUUAUUGCUAACAUCCGAAUUCUAAAUUGUAAUAAAAGGUGUAAAAACUUUUAAUUUCAGGGCAUUGCUAGGCACCAUUAGACCAAAUAAGCCACAACGUCAGCUUUUGCACACCUAUUUUACUGAUUGCAUUUUUUUAAUGUGAUGUGAAUAUGUUUAGUACUACAGUUAUUCAUUGUCAUUUUCAGUUUGUUUGCAUACACAUACACACAUUUAGCUCUUCAUAGAAGCAGUCCUUUUUCUUGACAUAAAGAGAUCAUAUAAAAAAGUGCCCAUGAAGUCCAUUGUUCAUUUAUAAGGCAUGCAAUGGAAAUAAAAAAGGAUAAAAAAAGGAUUUCUCAAACAGCAAGCAUCAUUUGACAUUAAAUUGGAGCCUUCACAUAUGCGCAAUGACAGUUUUCAAAAGUUACACUUGGUGGAGGAGCAUGGGUAUUGCACUCGCCAGAUGCUUAAUUCUUUACACUUCGACUGUAUAUGCCACCCUGCAACCAAAAACGCUGCCCUGCAGCCAGGUGCAGACAUACUUAAUGCAACUACUUUUUCCAACUACACGUCAUUCGGAGGAUAGAUGAAUGUGGCUACAUCUGUACCUUUUGAAAUUUAUGUGUUGAUCUUCAGAAACAAACAAAGGCUGGAUCAGAGAAAAUAGCAGAAAAUAUAUAACAAAAACAAGUACAAAAACCCAAUACAAAAUAUAUAAAAUGUUUAUGCACAAUAAUGCAAAAAUUACAUUUUAUAAUUUGCACAAUAAUACAAAUUGGAGAAUUCUACUAAGGUCAUGCAGAUCAUGCAACACUUGUUGAGUUUGAGCGAGCAUAAUCUUUAGAACUUUUUGUCUACUUUGGUGUAAAUCACAGCCAAAGCUAAUUUUAAAUUAAAUAUCUAAAUGUUAAAAAUUAAAAACAUGUUGUGAGAAAAAAAAAGAAGAAGUUUAUUUGCUCAUGAAAAGGCACAUCAUCACACUGUUAUGUUUACUGUACUUGGUAAUCCUGAAAUUGGGUGGAUGAGCCCAAAGUACAGGAAUGUAAUGCUGCGACUAGAAACAGAGCUCGGCAGCGCCCCCAAGGAUCCCUAACUCCGUUGUCUCACCCUUGUUGUCAGCCUACGCCUGCGUGACUAUGGUUUCUUGGGCCCACGGCAGCCGCGUUUGAAGGACGGAUUAUGUCUGCCCAACUUCGAAGCCCCCCAGUUUUAGUUGGAGACAAGACGUAGACUGAGACAGGGCGAUGACAAGGGGAACCUCUAACUAGAGAAGGAAGUACCCAGUUAGGGUUGCUACAGAACUUAAAUAAAGUAUGUGCGGCACAGCCGCAAGGAUAAACAACAACAAAGAAAAUGCUGUCCACACGCCGACACAAUACUGUUAUGUACCGGCGGUGACAGCAUACGCAGAACCCUCUGCAGAAAAUCCAAAGCAAAAGCAACAAGUAGCUACGGACUAGGCCGAGGGAUGCGGCAAAGCCGCUACUCACAAAGCCGGUAAGAAUACUGGCAAAAGGACAGGAACCCCCAAAGUAGCUGACACAGGCUCUCAGGACCGGAAGACAGGUAGAAUUCCAAACGACAGACUAGUGUACACCAAGAAGCAGGAUACUGGAUCGGACACAGGCAAAGCCAUAGGACUCCUGGACAGGAAUGCUUCAAGGCAGGAUGCAGCUAGACAGAAGCAAUCACUGGCGUCUGUGUCAGGCAGUGAGGGAGAAUAUAACAAGGAAUACAUCCAAUCACAGCAGGGACCCUAAUUAAUUAUGUCAUGCAGCUGCCCUGCUGCACGACUCAAAACUGACAGGUGCAAUUAACAGACAGGUGAGGCUAAACACAUGGAAACAGGCUGCAAUAACACAGACUCACCACUGGCGGCCAACAAGAGUCAUCUAAACCAGAGCAAAGGAAAUCCUUGCCUGCAAGAGAACUAGAACAUAAAAUACAUGAACAGGAAUGAACCACUGCUUGUGGUUCAUAACAGUACCCUCUCCUUAAGGGUGGACACCGGACACCCCACAAAAGCCAAGGGAACAGAAACAGAAGUAAAACAUAAAAUACAUAACCAAAAUGCAAAACAGGAAUGAGCCACUGCCAUGGCUCAUAAUACACACCAUCAUAUGCAUUCCCAUAAGAAGCACAUUAAGGAUGAUAAAUCAUGUUAUAAUAUUGAUGUUCAGGUUUAUGAUGAAUAUAAAUUGGCUCCGGAAAAUGUAAACAGAGUUUACGUGCCAGGCGAAGAAAAGAGGGACAAAAACAUGACAUUCAGCCACUCUGUGAUAAGAUAAUAUAAGAUUAUUCUAGUUCCAUUAAAUACUAUCGUGUUGAUAGCUGUGACUACUGAGCAUCUGGAAAUAUAUGUUGCUAAUUAUUUAGAAUGGGCCUUUGAAAAUGAUUUAUUGAAAUUUCCAAUGGAGACUUUACACUAUUUUUUCAGCGAGUGUAUGUAAACUAUUAUGACACCAUUACCCUAGUUUGUGUGUUUGGCAAUUUAGACUGUAAGCUUUAAUAAAGCUGGAACUAAUGAGAAUUACAUUUAUUCUCAGUAUAGCGGUGCAUAAAAUGGUGGCACUAUAUAAAGAAAUAAUAAUCUUUAUGUUGGAACUAAGAUUAUACAGAUGAGUUCACACCUACCCUCAAACUGCACCAAAUCCUAUAGCCCUGUUUGGUGUGCCAUCCAAGUUAGCUUCACCAUGUGUCCCAUUAGAGACUUUUUAAAAGAAUAAACAUAAUAUUCGCAUCACUAAAGGGAAAAAUUUCAUGCACAGGUACUAUGGAUAUUGAGGUAGUCAUUUAAUCAGGGGCUUUUUAACAGAGGUGAGGUACAUGUGCAGACUCCAGGUGUGCCCCCUCCUCUUCUCAACUCAGUAGACUCUGGCAUUGUCUCUGUCUACUGCGCUUGCGCAGGUCUCCAGAAACUUGGCACCCACCAUAUUCUGGAGACUAAAACGUUACAGCGCAUGCGUGGUGGCCAUUUUAUGGUGAUUCUUUUUUUUACCAUGGAUGUAGCUUCAGUAUGGGACUCUGGAAAAGUAGAUAAUAAAACAUGGAGGUAAAUUGUGUGUGGUGUAGUCUCCCUCUACCAAGAGACAUAUGUACAUUGCACCUAUUUUAGAAAUGCCAAUGUAUUUCAUGUUAUUUAUGUGUGCAAUUCAAUUACUAAUAUGGAUAGAAGGCAAAAGACAGAUGUCCGAUAUGAGUGAACAGCACCAUGGCUCGUGCCACGCAAUAUUAUCCUUAAUCAGCAAAUUUAUACCAACCCCCUGCCAUGGUGUUGGUGUUGUAUCCUGUUAUCUUCUAGCUACUCCUAACAACUCAUACCCCCAGAACCAUCACUUACUUUAUCUACAUUUGAGGUUCAUGCUAUACGCCUGUUCCAACUUGUCCAUCCUCGAAUAGCUGUCAUUUACCAUCCCCCUGGUAUUCUCUUCAAAUUUUUGACAACUUUGCUUCCUGUCUGCCUCACUUCUACAUUCCCUCCAUGAUCUUUGGUGAUUUCAACAUCCCAGUAGCUAUCCUUACAAAAUCCCAUGCCUCUAAACUCCUUAACCUUACAUCUUCACUUGGUCACUCCGAGUGAACCUACUCCCUCUCCCAUGUGAGUGGAUACUCACUUGCUCCCAUGUGAGUGGGCACUCAUUUUAUCUGGUCUUCACUAACUGCAGUGAUAUUUAUGACUUCUCCAACUCCCCAUUCCCCCUCUCUGACCACCUGCUCUCUUUUAACUUAUCUCUCUGCUUCUCCAUCUCUACCUCAUAAGGCUACCAUCACUAAGCGUAACAUUGAAGUUAUAAACAGCACUUUGCAAUCCUUUAAAUAUGACUCACUUAUUUCUCCUAUUCUUUUUCUGAUGCCCUGAACUAGCUACUUCCCUAUAUAAUGCAUCCCUUCUGUUCUUGACUCUGUAACUCCACUGACCACUAUUCGCCCUUGCAGAUCAACACCUCAACCCUGGCACACCAAAUGCACCAGAUAUGAGUGACAGUGGAGGAAAUCACGCUUUAAAGCAGACUUCCUCCAUUUUAAACUUAUGCCCUCAUCCUUCAGUGCUGCUCUUUCCCUCGCAAAAAGUUAUACUUCAAGAACCUCAUCUCCACCCAAUCUUCAAAAGCCCAGUGCCUCUUUGCUACUGUCAACUCCCUUCUCUGCCCACACCCACCUCAUCACCCCUCCUCACUCUCUGACCUUGUUUUUUUCCACUUACUUCAGAUCCAAAACUGACUCCAUAUGUCAGGAUAUCACAUCACACAGAGCAUCAGAAACAAGCCACCUCCAUUCCCCUACCAUGCCUCCCCAUCCCUUCUACCAACUCUGCCAUCCCCUGUAUCUGGUGAGGAAGUCAUGGACCCCAUCCAUUACACCACCCCUCCACCUUACUUAACCCUAUCUAACCACUCUUGCCUCAUCCUCUUCUUUUCUUCUUAUUCCUGUUCCCAUCUUGCCGAUCUCCUCAAUCUCUCCCCCUCAUCAGGCACUGUACACUAUGCUUUCAAGCAUGCACUCAUCUCCCCUAUUAUUAAAAAAACCCACCCUUGAUCCAAUCACCAUCUCUGACUACUGAUCCUUUUGCCACCUAACUCAUUGAGCAUAUUGUCUACAACCACAUUAGUUCCUUUCUUUCCUCCUACGCACUGCUUGAACCAUUCCAGUCUGGCUUCCAUCCUCUCCACUCCACUGAAACUGUACUCAUAAAAGUCUGCAAUUGACCUCCUUCUUGUUAAACUUGAGGAGAACUACUCUCUGCUUAUUCUCCUUGACCUCUCUGCCGUUUUUAACAAUGUGGACCACUCUCUCUUUCUGCAAAUCCUUCACUCCCUUUGUCCCCAUGAUACGGCUUUCUCCUGGCUGUCCUUUUACAUAUCUGACUGUUCCUUCUCUGUCUCCUUUCAUGACUCCACCUCCCCACACUUCACAAGGGUCUAUGCUUGGUCCUCUCCUUUUCUCUCUCUAUUUGUCCUCUUUAGGUGAGCUUAUUAGCUCUUUUAACUUACAAUAUUAUCUCUAUGCUGAUAAUACUUAGAUCUACCUUUCCUCCCCUUACCUGUCCCCUGCUCUUCUCACUCAUAUCUCCAACUGUUUCACUGCUAUCUCUUCAUGGAUGUCCCAGCACUUUCUUAAACCUAACAUGUUUAAGCUCAUCAUCUUCCCACCCUCCCGCACAACCUCACCUCAUUUAAUUGUUGGCAAUACUAUCUCCUCUAGCCCCUAAGUGUGCUGUCUUGGAGUGAUCCUUGAUUAUUCCUGCUCCAUCAAAACAAACAUUCAGCACCUCUCACAAAUCAUACAUUUUAACCUCAAAAAUAUUUCCAGAAAUAGACCCUUUCUCACCCAGUAUGCUACUAAAGCACUCAUCCAUUAACUGGUCAACUCCAGACUGCACUACUGUAAUCUUCUCCUGUGUGGCAUCCCUGACAAAUGCCGCUCUCCACUCCAAUCUAUCCUCAAUACUGCAACCCAGCUCAUCUUCCUCACCAAAUGUACUAAAUCCACCUACCCCCUUAAAAUACCUUCACUGUCUCCCCUUCCCUUUCAGAAUACAAAUCAAGCUUCUCACACUGACUUACACAGCCCUCACCUACUCCUCUCCCAUUUAUAUCACUGACCUUAUCUACCUAUACACUCCCAUCCUCUUAACUCUGCUACCUACUGAUUACUUCCUUGCACUCCUACUUCCAAGGUUUGUCACGUGCUGAGAUUUUUCACAUAUCUGGAAUGCUCUACAUUUCAGACUUUGCCCCGCUCUAUAAAAUUUAUAUGGGCUCUCAAUACCCACUUCUUUACCAAACCCAGCCAACUCUCACCCUAAAACUCUGUUCUAUGCUCACUGUCUACCCCAUCUGUGUCACCCCUGUCUGUCUGCCCCCACGCCCCCUUAGAAUGUAAGCUCUCAUGAGCAGGACUCUCUUGCCUUAUAUGCCUUUCCUUCUCUUUCUUAAAUCAUCGUCUAAUCCAUUCUCCCUUUGACAGCACCAAACCCCUCAGUUUUCUGCAACCCUAAUAGUUAUUUUAGUGUUAUGUGCUGAUGCAGCUAUGUUUAUAUACCUUGUACUUGUCUUGUCUUAAACUGUAAGUCACUUUUUUUUGGAAUAUUUGUUUAUAUACUCUGUAACUGGCUGCUGCGAAACCCUUGCUGUGCAAUAUAAAUAAAGGAUAUUAAUAAUAAAACGAA